rnacentral:rRNA from 1 species
CAAAAACAUCACCUCCAGCAUAACUAGUAUUGGAGGCACUGCCUGCCCAGUGACAACCGUUAAACGGCCGCGGUAUCCUGACCGUGCAAAGGUAGCAUAAUCACUUGUUCUCUAAAUAGGGACUUGUAUGAAUGGCCACACGAGGGUUUUACUGUCUCUUACUUCCAAUCAGUGAAAUUGACCUUCCCGUGAAGAGGCGGGAAUAUAUUAAUAAGACGAGAAGACCCUAUGGAGCUUUAACUACUUAGCCCAAAAGAAACAAAUUUCAUUGCUAAGGAAACAACAACACUCUUUAUGGGCUAACAGCUUUGGUUGGGGUGACCUCGGAGAACAAGAAAUCCUCCGAGCGAUUUUAAAGACUAGACCUACAAGUCGAAUCACACAAUCGUUUAUUGAUCCAAAAAAUUGAUCAACGGAACAAGUUACCUUAGGGAUAACAGCG